rnacentral:rRNA from 1 species
GCCUGUUUUUCAAAAACAUUGCCUUCUGAAUACAUAUAUAAGGUAAAUUCUGCCCAGUGAUUUUUUAACGGCCGCGGUAUCCUGACCGUGCAAAGGUAGCAUAAUCAUUUGCCUCUUAAUUAGAGGCUAGUAUGAAUGAAUAAACAAAUAAUUCCUUUCUUAUUACUACUAAUAAAAAUUAUCUUUUAGGUGAAGAGACCUAAAUUUCAUAAAAAGACAAGAAGACCCUAUCAAGCUUAUAUUUUUAUAAUUAAUAUCAAAUUUAAAAAAUUUUAUUGGGGCAAUAAAAAAUAAUAUAAAUCAUUUUCUUUAAUAAAGAUAAAUUAAUCUUCCUCCAUAACGCAUAACCCUCUUAAAGAAAGCUACUGUAGGGAUAACAGGCUAAUAAUUCUCAAGAGACCUUAUCUACAGAAUUGAUUGGCACCUCGAUGUUGGCUUAAGAAACCUUAUUUACGCAGAAGUAAAUAAAGGAGGUUUGUUCAACCUUUAAUAUCUUACAUGAUCUGA